GUGAGCUUUCUCUCAGUCGCUUCUCUUAUUCGUGGUCACUCCUGUGCUGUUGAUCGAGCGGCCCUGCAGGGUAGCAGAACUCCUCAGGUUAGGCAGACCUGGGAGCCAGUCCCGGCAGGUUCUGGCACCUUAGGCCACGUCACUUCAGUUCUCCAAGCCUCAGUUCUGUCAUCUUUAAAGGGAAGGCUGGGAAGUGGAAACAACCAGAACAGGCACAAAGCCACCCCAUGCAGAUGACAGACUGACCUCCCAGCUGGGUUCCUGGAUGCCCUGGACCACUUACUCCUCCGGCAGAACAGGGAAGGCCCACCCGCUCACCUCUGGACCACAGCAUAAGAGAGGAGGAGACACCCGCUUCCGUUAGACCCCGCAUCCCUGAGCCCUCCGUGCACCAGCUCCGUCUGGACCUUCUGCAGCCCACAGCCUUACUUUGGAGAUUGCAGAUACCACAUCCAAGCUACUAGACACAGUGGAUCUGUGGUUAGUGGAUACUAACAGGAUGUGAGGCAGGAACUAUCACCAUCCCUACUUUACAAACGAGGAAGCUGAGGCUUUCAGAGAGAAGAGUUCGGAACAGUCUCCAAGGAGGCGUCAGACCUGAAAAGCUGCCAGGGAGGCACUGCAGAAUCAGUGCCGCAAAGGCUCACGCUGACUGCGAGGGAACGACAAGAAACGCCCUGCCUGCUGCAUCAGGGAGCAAGUCUCGCCUCCACGUUUUACAAAUACCUGCUGCCCACCUACAUGCCCCAGGUUGCUGGACAGCAGAAACACGGGCUCCACACUAUCCCUUCCAUCCUCCACAACCCUCGGCUUCCCCAUUAGGCCCUCAGACACACAGACUCCUUCCUCCUUCCACUCCCCCUCAAAAAGUCCCACAUAUUAGCUCCAGCAAACAGAGCCCCAGGAGGAUCCCACGGCUUGGUUCUGCCACCAGCCAGACUCCAGGGCACGCUCCGGCUCGGCAGCAUCAGCCCUGCCCUCUGCUGCCCUAAGGAAAAUCUUUGCAGAGCC
rnacentral:lncRNA from 1 species